UGAACACAUUCAGAAGUUAACUAAUUAUUUUUGGACAUGUUUAAAAUGUCUUGCAAAAAAUCCCUAGCAAAAUAUUUAAAGAUAAGGGAGACAGAAUUCUAUGCUUAAAAUAGAAAGCAUGCACAACUCUCUUUUACCUAAUAUUUUAUGUUUUUGGUAUUAUUGUUGGUGUGACAGUUCACUCAAAGUAAAGGUGGGUCAAUUUGGACAUAUGCUACCCAUUUUAGGUCUAAAUACAAAUCAAUCUCGAUAUGAAUUCUGAAAACCAGCUAAAACCAGCCCAAGCUGGUUGACUGGUUUUAAGCUGGUCUCUCAGCCUGGUAUUAGCUGUUCAGGAUUGUGUAGCAGGAUGUGUUUUUUUUUUGGCCACUUUAUAGCUGGUUAGGCUAGAAAACCAGCUGACCCACCAGCUUAAACCAGCUUGGCUAAGCUGGUUGGCUGGUCUAAGCUGGUUCAAGAUGGUCCUCCCACCCUGACCAGCUACAAAGUGAACAUACACACCUUAGAGAGAGCAUAGGUCACACAGAGUACAAAAAUAUUUUACUAUUACGUAAAAUAAUGUAAGUUGUCUUAUAUAUUGAUCUUUGAUAUUAUUGUAGGUUUUGUUGUGGGUUCAGGGCAUCUUGAAGUACACUAUGAAUGACGUCAGAUAGAUCUAUUGCGAGUGACAACAUUUGAAUUAUCUGGCACGAGGAGUCACACGUCAUACUUCAACUGACACAACGGAGACGGUGGUAAAAGAGGGAAAAACUCCUUUAAAUUUCGAAUUUUUUUAUACUAAAUCCCAUUUAUUUUGUAGUUAAUUGUUGGAUAAGGUCGUAAUUUCGUCAAGUUUUCGUUACAGGGUAAGAUUUCUUUACCAUAUACAGUAUUUAUAUUGGUUCAAGUGUGCAGUUUGAUAAGGUUUGUAUUUCCUUUGUAUAGGAAAUUUGUUAGCCAUAUUUAAGUUAGUACAUUUUGGUAUCGUAUGUAAGCUUCGCUUUAGUUCAAUGUUAGAGUAAAUGUAUAAGGUUUUAUAUUAAUAUUCAUCCGCAGCGGGUAAGUGCGCGAGCUCAUACGGCCGUUACUCAAGCGGAAGGCUGCAGCCUCUGGAGGUCGCGUGUCUUAUUUCAGAAUAUUAACAAGUAUAAAGUUGACUAUUAUUCUUAGUUAAUCGUAAAUUGUUGUAAUAUGCUUAUGACUUGCGAAUGUAAUGCUCAGUUAACUUAAUAAACCAGGCUUGGUGACGUAUACAGCCUGCCUAUGCGACCUCCGGAGGAUGCAGCCUUCCGUUUGAGAAACGGCCUACAUGUGUACCGAGGGCGAGCGUGCACGAAAUUCUGUCUGAAUUGAUUCUUCAAUAAUGGCAAAGCAAACAUUUUCUGUCGUGAUGAUUAAACACAUUUUAAAGUUUAAAUUAAAACUCCUACCUUUCCAGGGGUUUCUGUUCCUGCAGUCUUCCAGUGACACUUCAGUCGUACUGUGUGUGUACUUGCUUGCCGCGUAUGACCAUACGGACACGAACAAUAUACCGCCACCUACUGUACUGUAGUAAAAUGACGUGUAUGAUUGAAUACGGUGGCACAGGCAGUAAAAAUAGCCCUGUAAGUCAUUGUAAAAAUUGGCUAAAUCACCAAAAUAAGUUUGUAGAUGUGGUUCAUUAAUUUUUCAUAACUAUGCAGCAUAAUGAAUCAGCCUGAAUUUAUUUAGCCUAUAAAAAUAUAUUUUUUAACUUUAUUUUUAAACCUUUAUAUGCUUUUAUAUGGUAUAUGGUUAAACCCUUAUAUGGUAGCAUACAGUUUAAUUGAAUAAAAAUCUUAAAUUGAAUCAAAUCUCUUGUAAUAAUAAAAAAGCUCUUAAUUAUCUGCAAGGAUUGGGGGUACAUCUGGGUAACAUUUUAACAUUUAAGCAGCUUCCUUUUUAUAUUAUUUUACAUAAUUUGAUGUGUAUAUAUAUUAACUUAUCUUUAUUUAGUUUUCUCAGCCUUUAAACAUCUGACUGAUAAAUGUGUAGUGUACUACAAAAAGGUAAGUUCAGCACCAGAUCCGCUUAUGUUAUACUGUAAUGACCUCUGUGUAUGACAUGUGCUAUACAAAUAAACUUGCCUUGCCUUGUAAGAUUGAUACUGGUUUGAGAACAACCAAAUGUUUCCAGUGCAACAUGAAAAAACAUUGGAAAACAAUUUUCAGCCUAAGGUUAGAUAAUGUAGCCAAUGGUCCUCUAUUAAUUUUGGUACAAUGGUACAUUUCCUUUGUGUACUGCAAGCUGAACUUACCGAUUUAUAUGGACUUUACUUACAGGUUUUCUGUGCUAUGUUGCUCCAUUUCACGGAGCAAAAUAAGUCUGAGGUAGCACCAUCCUUGUGGUUUGAGUUGAACAAUGGGGGUAUUGAGACCAAAAUGAACAAUGUGCCACUCUAGACAGCUGUGGACAAAAUAUGCAUUCAGAGUAUUUUCUCAAACAGAGAGAGAAUUCCAGGCCAAAAGGACUCAACAGAGACAACAUUGUCAGUACACAAAACAAAAAGUUGGAAUGAUUAAGAAAAAUGCAUGUUUCUAUACAUAUUUUAUGUGAAUUAAUCAUUAUUGACAGCAAUUGCACAAGUGUAAGUAAAAACUUUAAAAAAGAUCCAACUGUUGAAUAUUUGAUUGUUAAAUGCUAAACGUUAAACUAAAGUGUACAUGGUCCAUGUUAAUGUUUUUAGUAUUUUUUUUUCAGCUGAGGAGCCAGGUAAAACUAAAAGGUCACAAUAUGAUUUACUAUCAUAUUAUUAUUUCAUUCUGAUUUUUCUCCUGUUUUUUUUCUGAGUUAGAUGAGGAGCAACCAGUACAUCAAAGCAAAAAGAUGCUAUGAUAUUGUCUGAGGCACCUUAUUUUCCAUGUCCUUCACAAUCACAACUGCAGCACACCAGUCAAUUUCUGCCAUUCGGAAGAAUCAGAAAGAAGUCUUGGAUUGGAAAAUCAUUCUGAAAGUAGACUAAAUUCAGGACAACAUCACAGCAGUGGUCGGAAAAACAUCAGUCAAUGAGCAAGCCAAGCUAACUUUCAAAAGAUGAUUUGUUAUCUGUCUUCAGAGGGAAGGCAGCUUGGAGGAUGCUACAGCUACACAGGGAGAAAUUCAACAGCUCAGUUUCAUACUUGCAACUAAUAAUGAAUAAUAGUUAGAAGACAGCGGAAAGAAUUGACAUCGCAGAGACACACACCAAGAGACACGCACACACACGCAGCUGAAGCGAGUUUGACUGACGCGCAUGGGAGAUCGGGCACCGUGCACGCACACACAAACAUGGAGCACAGCAUAAUUACAACUGUUGGAUUAAAAUAAAAGUACUUUGUGGUAU